AUUUAAUAAAAAAAUAAUAAUAGCUAACAUCUACUGAAUUCUCAAGUGCUACAAUUUUAUUAUUGAUGAAGAAAAACAAGAAUCAGAGGCUCUGUAUAACUUGCCUAAGAUCACUUGGGUAGUAAGUUUUCAGACAGAUGUGUCUGAGCCCCAAACCCAUGAACUUAACCACUUUGCUUUGCUCCAUUGAUAGCACAUAUCAGUUGCAUGUUUAUGUAUCUCUUUCUUUUCAUUAACAUGAACCCCAGAAAAGUGGUUGUUUGCUUUGUAUCCUUUCUGCCUAGCACAAUGUCUGUAAUAGAGAAAGAGCUCUGUGCACACAGUUAACGACUGAAUGGAUAUUGCACGUUUCCUAGGCCUUGGGCUACAUUUCCCUCACCUGGCCCAUCAUAUCCCACCCCACAGAUCUGGAUCAUGCUACGUCACUGUGCUCCCAUGUUACUUCUAAAGUGGCUCUUCACAGAAUUGACCAUCUUGACAGCUGUUGCCUGUGAGAAUCUUUAUUUAACAUCCUUGGUAGGUGUGGCCAGAAAAUAAUGGUAUAGGUAGGAUUUGCUCUCUAACACUUGGGUUGCAGGAACUGUUGUUCUGUUAUAUAUUUCUGAGUUGAGUUGGAAUUGGUUUGCAUCUGAUCUUUUUGAUAGGCAUAAACAUCAAUAUUGUACCCUUGGAGCACCUCUUCCCCUCUUCUGGUUUAUCCAAGAGUUCUUUGGGUUUACAGAGUCUCCAAAGAAGAUACCUGGCCACUCUGGGCCCAGAACCUCUGGGACCAAGGCAGCAUUGCUUCCUGUCACCACACUGUGCUCCACAAAGCUCUGAGCUAGGACCAUCCUUUGAAUAAGGGGAUUUUCCCCAGGAUUCUGAUCUUGGUGCCUAUCCUUUGAGUUCAUGCACCAUCCAAGGACCCCCUGUAGAUGUGCUCCCCAUUCUCCCCCCUCCCCCACUGUAUUCUCCAUCUCAGAAUCCACUGUCCCACAUUCAACCUCUGAGGAUUCACCCCCAGGUACCAGCAGUCUUCCCUUUCCCUGGCCCCAAACAAAGGAUCUAUUCCCCUCCUUUCUCUGACAAUAGAUCUAAUUUGUUAAUAGAACAGUCCAGACCAUAAAAAUGCAAAUGUCUGUUUAGAUUUGGGAAAUCUCAUGGUAUGUUCUUGCUAAAGAGGCAACAGCAAAGCACCACUUAAGAUUUUCAUCAGUUCAUCCUGUUAAUCAGUUAGUCUUCAGUGGGGCGCCCAGUUUAAAACACAAAAAAGCCAGAACUUAUGCAUAAGUGAGAGUUGCCCUUUUUAAAGGAGUCACUUGCUGUACGUUUUUACAAUUAUGCUGCCAUCAUUCAAAUAUUAAAAAAAUAAUUCUUCUUCUGGUUUUCAGAGCCUGCAGCCCAAUCUUUUUACUCCCAAAGAGAGCAAAUAUUUAUAUUUGAAAAUGGUUUUGAUUUUGGAAAGAGCCCAAAGUUAUUUGGCUUGGUUUUAUGAAUAAAAUCAGUGUGAAAAGUUGCCUUUGGUCCCAAAGAAGGUGAAACUAUAAAGUAAUGACACUGAUUUUGUGAGUCUUACCAAAUUCCAAAAGGAAUUUCCAAAUACAGUGUGAAGAAUGGAAUAUCAGGGAAAUAAGUAUGUGGUUUUCAAAUGUAACUAUGGUAAGAAUGACACAAAUCUGAAUACAAAUACAAAUAUUCUGGUAUAUUUGUGAUUAACUAUUCUCAUUACUGUCUCUGAAGGUACAGCUUGCACAUUAUGUCCAAAAUUCUUGCUGAAAACAUCUCUCAGUAGACUGGUGCUUCUCAAAUUCAAUGUGGACAUGAAUUCUCUAAGGUUAAAAUGCAGAUUCAAGAGCUCUGGCUGGGGCCUGGGACUAAGCAUUUCUAAGCAGUUCCCACGUGGUGAUCCAGGGACCUUUCUCUGAGUAUCACUGCCCUAGACUCUCUAAACAUCCCUGGUAAGCCAGUUAAAUCUUGGUUUUCAUGGAUAUUGCUACUCACAUUAAGCUACAAUGUGUUGGUUUGUUCCUUAGCAAAAUAUUUGUUUGUGUUCAUGUACUUGUGCACUUUGCCUCAGAACAGAGCAUUUUCUGUGUACUUUUUCAGUGAAGAAGCAGCAAUGACCCUGUGCCAUUUUCUUAGAUUGGAUGUUUUCUUUACCAAAACGUAAUAGAAGUUUUUAUGGAAAAAAGUAAUUUAAAUGUUUAACCUCACUAAUUAUUACAUGGCAGAUAUUAUCACAUGAGAAAAAGCAAGGUCCAUUUUGAUAUAUUUAAAGCUGUUAUUUCUGAUUUGACAAUUUUUGAAAUUGAUGCUACAAAAGUUCUCUUGCUAGCUAGCUAAAAACAAAAUCCUAUUUCACAGCUAAAAUGUAAACAGCUAAGACGUAAUUGGGGGACUAAAUUUCCCAGCUACAAAAACACAGCUGUGAAACAUAAAUUUGGAGUUUAAUAAAGCCAAAUAGCUUUGCAUGCUAAUAAUGGAUAUUACAAAUAAAGAUGAGAAUGACUUUGUUAGCCUAUUUCAGUGUUUAGAUACUUUCACUAAUGUUACCUGUUUAACUGAGAAUGUUCUCAAGUUACCUACCAUAUACACACCUAUUGAAUGCCUGCUAUGUGUAUUUCGCUAGGAACUAGUGAUAACAGAGAUGAAUGUGACAUUAAGUCAUUCUUCAAGGGGUUAUUUUUUAUUACAUAAUAUAUCCUGUGUCAAGUAAUUUUUUUGGUUAAUGUUUUUCAGAUUAUAAAUGCAGAUUGGAAAAAUAUUAGAAAAUACAGAAAAAAUUACAAAAGUAAAAUAUAUGUUAUUAAAGAUCCAACCACUGUUAAUAUUUUUAUCUUGUAUUUUAAAUUUCCAUUGACUUAAUUCCAAGUAUUAUUAUUUCUCACAUCUUGAUGUACUUUAUCACUAUUAUUAUUUUAUUUAUUUAUUUUUUUAUUUUUUUGCGGUACGCGGGCCUCUCACUGUUGUGGCCUCUCCCGUUGCAGAGCACAGGCUCCGGACGCGCAGCCUCAGCGGCCAUGGCUCACAGGCCCAGCCGCUCUGCGGCACGCGGGAUCCUCCCGGACCAGGGCACGAACCCGCAUCCCCUGCAUUGGCAGGUGGAUUCCCAACCACUGCACCACCAGGGAAGCCCUGUUAUUAUUUUUUAACUGUGGAAGUAACUCUUAUUGGCCAGUGUCAAGGUAAAUUUCAGUUGAAUUUUUAUACCUGUGUUGGCCUGAGCUGAAUUUUGGAAACCCAUAACUGUAUACAUGAUGUGUAUAUGUUUGUGUGUGUAUGUUUGUGUGUGUAUUGUGGGGAUUGGGGGUUUUCUCUGGGAUCAGCUCUUAAUAUUUGAAGGGCCCUUUAGACUGGAGUAAGGAGAAAUAGCUGGAAUUCCAUCUAACUCUGUAGGUAUUUGUAGGCCAAAGAACCUUUAUGAUAUAACUGAUAGCACUUAUAUCCCCAGAGUUACUCACGUGCACAUUGUGUUUUGCUUUCUCAAUUUUGUAAUAAUUUUUUUGGAUUAUGAUAAUUUUGGAUUAGAGUGUUUCUUGCUAAAAUCUGUUGCACAUUUUUAUCAUCUGUAAAAUAAGGUACGUGAACUAAGUAUUCUCAAUUUUCUUGAAUUCUUGAGUUUUGAAAUUUUGUUGCUGUUUUCUUUAUUAAUAUCUUGCAUGUAAAUAGAUCUAUCCUGAUAAAUACCUUUAUAUACCUUUGAUAAUAAUCUUUGAAUCAAUAUAAACCUAAAGUCUUAUUGAAAAUCUACAGUUUAGAAUGAGAAUCUAUAACAGAGCUUGGUAAAUGACUGCCUGCAGGCUAAAUGUGGCCCACUGCCUAUUUUUGUAAAUAAAGUUUUAUUAGAACACAGUCACAUCUAUUAAUUUAUGUAUUGUCUACAGCUGCUUUCAAGCAUCAGUAAUAGAGUUGAGUAGUUGUGACAGAGAUAGUUUAGAUAGCAUUUAAUAGCUAAACUGUCAAAGGAAAGGUUUGUUGACCCCUGAUCUAGGUUAAUAAUGUUUUGAAUCAAUAAUCAUGCUUUUCUUCAGGUACUUCGAGUGAGUAUGAAUAAGUAUAUCAUAGUUUUGAUAAUGGGAGGUAGGGAUAUGGAAGCUAGUCUGAGUCACAUAAACCAGCUUCUUUUUUUUUUUCAGGAUUAUACCUAAAUAGAGUUUACUUGGGCUUGAUUUCCAGAGGUUAGCUAGAUCUGCAUCAGGUAAAUGUCACAUCUGCUGUCAUGAGAGAAACUAGGUUGUCAGUGUGACACUCUUUGAGCCUGGAAAGAUUCAUCUUGAAUGACUCAGACCACUGACUCAGAGGAAGAUUAAGCAGAGACAAACAUCUCUGAAUUCUCCAAAAAAUCUGAGAUGGCAGAGUCUGCAAAACAGAAGAUGAGACCAGGCUGAGGAUUUAGGUCUCCUGAGAGGAAGAGCUACAUGUCCUGUGUGGAGAGGGCCUAAAAAGAAGGUGGCUGAAGGAAACCCAAAGAUGCUUGGGAGAAAGCCUUUUUCUGGUCAUCAUGGCAUUAAUUACUCUGAUACUAUAAAGGAGAAGAGAAAUGUACCAAAUGCUUUUCAGCUAGAAAAUAUUUUAAAAUUACUUUUUGGGAUUUCCCUGGUGGCACAGUGGUUAAGAAUCUGCCUGCCAAUGCAACAGACACGGGCUCUAGCCUUGGUCCGGGAAGAUCCCACAUGCCACAGAGCAACUAAGCCUGUGUGCCACAACUAUUGAGCCUGUGCUCUAGAGCCCGUAAGCCACAACUACUGAGCCCACGUGCCACAACUACUGAAGCCUGCACCUAGAGCCCGUGCUCUGCAACAAGAGCAGCCACUGCAAUGAGAAACCCAUGCACCACAACGAAGAGUAGCCCCUGAUCACUGCAAGUAGAGAAAGCUCACAUGCAGCAAUGAAGACCCAA